GCCGCCGCCAUGUCGCGGAGAGGCGGCCCGGGGUGAGGCUCCGCCGCUCCCCGCCCGACUACAACUCCCGUGAGGCCGCUGGACGGGCCUCCCCACCCCCGGGGCGGUGGCUGGAGCCCCGCCCGGGACUCCCGGAGGCCGUGGGGGGGAAAGAUGAGUUCAUCAAGCUCUUUGCAUGGACAACUGAAGCAAAUGUGAAAGUCAGGUUCAAUAAAUCUAGCAGCAGAUUUCCCCCUUCUUCCCUUGUUGGCUGGCAGAAGGAAAAUCCUCAUCCCUAAGAUCAAGGGACAAGACGACAUACUCUCAAGCUGCGCCAGGAGAGGUUCAGAUUGUACAUCUGGAAGAAUUUCUUCACAGAAAGGGUAAUUAGACACUGGAAUGGGCUGUCCAGAGAGGUGGUGGAGUCAGCACCCCCAGAAAUGUUUAAGAAAAGACUGAAUGUGACACUUAUUGCCAUAGUCUAGUUGUCAUGGUGGUGUUUGGUCAAAGAUUGGACUCGAUGAUCUCAGAGGUCUUUUCCAAUGUGAAUGCAUCUGUGAUUCUGUGAAAGAUGUAGGUAGGGAUUAAUAAAGGCCAUGGAAAGUAAAAGACUGGGAGAAAGCGAGUUUGAAACUGGAACAAGAGGGUGCUUUCUGAGCCAGGGUGUGGGGGGUAUGUGGGGCAUGGGCUUCCUAACACUCCCAGCACACUAUCUCCCAGCACCGAGCUCCUUCUACAAGCAGACUGUUUCCCCUCUUCAGAUUUUAACCCUCCCAUAAGGCAUAUGAUUCUCUGAAAGGACAUUUCUUUCACAGCAUCUGAAAUAGUCUAUGCUGGUUUUAUACUUGAAGUGUACUGGAAAACUAAGCUCUUUUGUUUGUUUUUUUUUUCUGCAUGGCUUUGGGAAAUGAAUGAUUUUAAAUAAAACUUGUGAGCAAGCAGUUUGUCAUCAA